GAUGAACGCUGGCGGCGUGCUUAACACAUGCAAGUCGAACGAAGCACUUUAUUUGAUUUCCUUCGGGACUGAUUAUUUUGUGACUGAGUGGCGGACGGGUGAGUAACGCGUGGGUAACCUGCCUUGUACAGGGGGAUAACAGUUGGAAACGGCUGCUAAUACCGCAUAAGCGCCCAGCAUCGCAUGCUGCAGUGUGAAAAACUCCGGUGGUAUAAGAUGGACCCGCGUUGGAUUAGCUAGUUGGUGAGGUAACGGCCCACCAAGGCGACGAUCCAUAGCCGAGCUGAGAGGGUGACCGGCCACAUUAGGACUGAGACACGGCCCAAACUCCUACGGGAGGCAGCAGUGGGGAAUAUUGCACAAUGGGCGAAAGCCUGAUGCAGCGACGCCGCGUGAGCGAAGAAGUAUUUCGGUAUGUAAAGCUCUAUCAGCAGGGAAGAUAAUGACGGUACCUGACUAAGAAGCACCGGCUAAAUACGUG
rnacentral:rRNA from 1 species